UACGGAGGGUGCAAGCGUUAUCCGGAUUCACUGGGUUUAAAGGGUGCGUAGGAGGGCAGGUAAGUCAGUGGUGAAAUCUCCAAGCUUAACUUGGAACUGCCGUUGAUACUAUCUGUCUUGAAUACCGUGGGAGGUGAGCGGAAUAUGUCAUGUAGCGGUGAAAUGCUUAGAUAUGACAUAGAACACCAAUUGCGAAGGCAGCUCACUACCCAGAUAUUGACACUGAGGCACGAAAGCGUGGGGAUCAAACAGG
rnacentral:rRNA from 1 species